GUGCUCUCUUUGACAGCACAUAUACUAAAAUUAGAAGAAUACAGAGAAGAUUAGCAUGGUCCGUGAGCAAGGAUGACAUGCCAAAAAUUAAAAUCACCAGGGAAGCUUGUU